rnacentral:rRNA from 1 species
AUGGUGCCCGCUCCUAGUAAGGAAAAGUUACUCACCCAGCCUGCAUCAUGGAUCCUUCGUCAACCUAGUGCAUGGGACCUAGUUCGUCGGAUGUUGAAAGUUGUUGCUCCAGUUUUGGCUACUAGGUUCUUACUUGCUAUUCAUGUUCACAAACAAUCUUGUAUUGAUGCUGUCAAACAAAAAAACCUUGUAUUGAAUAGCAGGUUUGGCCAACUACCUUUUUUAGGCCAGAUGAAAAUUGCAUCCCCUUCUAUUAUGCAAGCAGAAGUUGGUUCUAAACUUGCGCUAAUAGCAUUAGAGCAAAAUCAAAGUUCUCUGAAAUAA